rnacentral:rRNA from 1 species
CCGGCGACCGGCGCACGGGUGAGUAACACGUAUGCAACCUGGCCGUCACAGGUGGAUAACCGGAAGAAAUUCCGACUAAUACAGCAUAACACUCCUGAGGGACAUCCCUUGGGAGUCAAAGGAGGCAACUCCGGUGACGGAUGGGCAUGCGGCGCAUUAGGUAGUUGGUAGGGUAACGGCCUACUAAGCCGACGAUGCGUAGGGGUUCUGAGAGGAAGGUCCCCCACAUUGGAACUGAGACACGGUCCAAACUCCUACGGAAGGCAGCAG